rnacentral:rRNA from 1 species
AUUGAACGCUGGCGGCAUGCCUUACACAUGCAAGUCGAACGGCAGCACGGGAGCAAUCCUGGUGGCGAGUGGCGAACGGGUGAGUAAAGUAUCGGAACGUGCCCAGUCGUGGGGGAUAACGUAGCGAAAGUUACGCUAAUACCGCAUACGAUCUAUGGAUGAAAGCGGAGGAUCGCAAGACCUCGCGCGAUUGGAGCGGCCGAUAUCAGAUUAGGUAGUUGGUGGGGUAAAGGCUCACCAAGCCGACGAUCUGUAGCUGGUCUGAGAGGACGACCAGCCACACUGGGACUGAGACACGGCCCAGACUCCUACGGGAGGCAGCAGUGGGGAAUUUUGGACAAUGGGCGCAAGCCUGAUCCAGCCAUGCCGCGUGCAGGAUGAAGGCCUUCGGGUUGUAAACUGCCUUUGUACGGAACGAAAAGGUUUGACUUAAUACGUUGGACUCAUGACGGUACCGUAAGAAUAAGCACCGGCUAACUACGUGCCAGCCGCCGCAGUAA